rnacentral:rRNA from 1 species
GACGAACGCUGGCGGCGUGCCUAAUACAUGCAAGUCGAGCGGACGAAUCGAAAGCUUGCUUUUGAUUCGUUAGCGGCGGACGGGUGAGUAACACGUGGGCAACCUGCCCUGUAGACGGGGAUAACACCGAGAAAUCGGUGCUAAUACCGGAUAACACGAAAUGUCGCAUGACGUUUCGUUGAAAGACGGCGCAAGCUGUCGCUACAGGAUGGGCCCGCGGCGCAUUAGCUAGUUGGUGAGGUAACGGCUCACCAAGGCGACGAUGCGUACGCGACCUGAGAGGGUGAUCGGCCACACUGGGACUGAGACACGGCCCAGACUCCUACGGGAGGCAGCAGUAGGGAAUCUUCCGCAAUGGACGAAAGUCUGACGGAGCAACGCCGCGUGAGCGAAGAAGGCCUUCGGGUCGUAAAGCUCUGUUGUUAGGGAAGAACAAGUAACGCAGUAACUGGCGUUACCGUGACGGUACCUAACGAGAAAGCCACGGCUAACUACGUGCCAGCAGCCGCGGUAAUACGUAGGUGGCAAGCGUUGUCCGGAAUUAUUGGGCGUAAAGCGCGCGCAGGCGGUUCCUUAAGUCUGAUGUGAAAGCCCACGGCUCAACCGUGGAGGGUCAUUGGAAACUGG